GAAACUAUAAGAUCAAGUUAACAAACUCCUUCCUCUCACCUCUGGUACUGCCACUGUUCAAAGAAAUGUUUGGAAACAAUCAUACAUUUGGAUGUCAGGGAGAAGUGGAGACAUUCCCUUACAGAGGAGCAACUUGUCAGCUAAAUUCAGUCUCAUCUGGUUACCAGUCAACAGAAAGGUAAAAAGACCCCUACUCCAUGGAAUUACAUAUCAAAUGUGGACAGGAAACCAGAAGAAGCCUCUACUUGGAUCUAUACCCAAAUACACCACAAGAGGCAUGCAGUUUACUUUCUUUAUGUUGAUGGCUAUGACAAGAGUACAACCUGGAUGCUGCCAGUGGCAAAUUGUCCAAGCAACACCAUACUGAGAUCUGAACUGAAAACACUCUCCAAGUGUUUACACAAUUGCCUACUCCUAUUCAGUACACAUUGUGAGAUUGUCAAACCAGCACACAAAUUCAAUUUUUUUGUUCCAAUGUUGUAUACUUGAAUAUAUCAUUUUCUGUUUGAUUUUAUAUACAGUGUGACCUCUUUUAGUGUAGACACAGUUUGAGACUAAUACCUGCAUUGAACAAUAAUGGAUCAACAGUCAUGAGUUAUAGUACCUGUCUUAUAUUGUUCUACAAACAGAGAAAAAUGAAACAACUCUUUGCGUGCAUGUUACUAUGUGCGCAGAAUUCCAUUCAUUUGCAAAAACCACUCAGCUUUAAUGUUAUAGAAAGUCAGUGGGAGAGUCUGCUUUGCUAACAUUGAAACAAUUAAAAUUAGAAAGAAAAGUAAUGUGGAUUUAUAGGGUAGUUUUCAAGCCUCAAUACAUCCCAAAGUGGUUUGCAGACAAUUAAUAACUUUUUUUUAAAGAAUACACAAUGUUGUAGGAAUUGCAACAGACAAUAUGAAUACUACAAGAUCCUGUAAACUGCAAUGAGAUAACAAUCAGAUAAUCUCUUUUUAAAGUCACUUUAGGGUUAAAUAUUGCACAGGACAACAGGAAAAGUCAUUUGUUAAUUUCAUAUGAAUAUGUGAGGGUACAUGCGCUACCCUCAAAACAGCGUCUGACCAAGUUUUAUUUACAUUAUAAUUUUCCUUGGAAAUAACUAAGAGUUGGUGAGAGGUAACAAGCAUUUAGGAGAAGUGGAGACCAAGAUCAGAUGAAUAAUGGUCACUAUGUACAAUAUAUCUUGCUCUCUUUUCUCAGUUGAAGCCAAGAACUUCAUUGCAAACAUAUUUUAACUAGCCCAACAGCCAGAGAGGUUCAUUUUACUUUAAAGAAGCUGUUGAUAGGACAAACUUUUUCUGCAAUCUGGAGACCCAAUGGCAUCCCAGCCUGGACACAUGUGGAAUUAGUUUCACACAAGAGGCCAUGAAAUUCUGUCUGUGCAAUGAGAUUGCUCACAAUUAUUACUCCUAUCAUCACAGGUAACAGAAUUUUUAAAUGACCGGUUUUUUUUAAUACUGGUCCAGGUGUUCUCUUUUAUAGCAUAGAGCAGUACCUGUUGCAGGCUAAUGAUAUAAUUUAAGGCACAAUCAUGUUAAGGUAGCAAGUAUUUUUAUGGAUGCACUUAAUGUGACAUUUUAGGGUAGAGUUUCACACCAACCAUGGAUCACUAUGUACAUUUAAGCAAUGAUAAAUAGGCCAUUAACAAGGCAUUAACUACAUGUUAAUUUGGACAACAGAGAUAUGGCCUUAACCAAUCUUGUCAGCUACGUCACAACAACUUGCUAUGUACUUAUUAUCAAAAGGCUUAAUCAAUCUGUUGGAAAUAGAUGAGUUCUUUUUUAAAUAUCAACAUAUGUUAAACCAUUAAUUUAGAGUGCUGUUGGGAUAGUUACAUUGAGUUCAGUGGUUAAUUAAAAUUUGACAGACGCCCAAUAACCUCAGCCUAUACACAUUGAGCUCAAGGAAAAUAGUGCCAAUUAUUUUUCAUGGGAAUGUUACCCAUCAUAACUAUAAUUUUCUUUUACAUAUCACUUUUAACGGAGAAGUGUAUCCAAGGUUAUUUCACAUGGGGAAAAUUCAUAAAUACAUAGAACUUAAGAGAAAAGUUAACGAGCUGCUAAAGAUGGGGUUAAGAGGCUUGAUUUUAUAAGGCUUUUGAAAGAGAGAGUGAUAGAGCAAGGCACAGAGUUCAGAGAGAGUUAAGAGGAGAGUUACAACAUAAAUGAACAUUGUAGCUUAUCAGUGAAAUUACUCUUCACAAGGCAUUCAACGGGUUCAAAUAAUGUUUUAAUCUGUGUUACAGUUUAUAACCAAAUUUAGAACUCAGAUUGUACUUUGAAAUCAUUUCAAUGCAUCUGUUAAUUUUCACAAUUUGAAUAUAAUGUAACAUUCAAGAAUAUUCUUAAUCAAAUACGAGAGUUUUUAGCUGUCAGUCUUUUCAAGGUAUGAAUGCACAAUGGUGUUCACACUGAAUGAUUAAUGAUUUUACAUCAUUAUUGCAAGCUUAUAAAAAAGUGAUUUCAAGCUAUUUAAUGCCUCUGGGUAAAUGUACUGUCUAGAGCUGCACUGAUCAAAACAAGGUAGACAUUAUAUAUCACCCGCCACUACUCACAUAUUUUAUAUAAUAUUGACUAGUACCUAAAACGUCUACUGUAUCAAAUGUGGCCAAAGGAAGAGGAGGGUAGAAUAUUGGAAAAAUAUGUAGUCACUCAACUGCCAUGAACUAGAUGAAAAACACAUAAGAAUGUACCAUCCGGUACAUUUAAUGUUUCACUCAUGACAAUGACCAUAACUCCUGCAUGACUAUGUUGCUUUGAGUUAUCAAGUCUAGCAAUUUGCAAGAUACCAGAUCAUAGUCCUUGUAUGGGCUAUAGCAGUAGGAUUCCCUAGAUAUAUAUUCCCAAAAACCAGAGAAUUGUCAGGCAUGAAAUGUAUCUGGUUUAUAACAUCAUCAGCACUGUCAUCUUCUUCUUUGAUACCGAUAGACAAGAAAAAAAAAUAAGAUCUAGGCCAAUAUAAUCUAAUGUUGCACAAAUAUGCUUUUUAUGUAAUACACUUAAUUGAUCAUCUGAAAUUGCUCCAAUCUCCAAGAACAGAUCCAUAAGAACAAUACUUGACACUAGAGCUUAACAGCUUCAUUUGUUUAUUUCCAAAUAUAACCUGCUUAGAAGGUCAAAAGUUAUAAUGAUUGUACCAUUAAGGCUUUCUAGUUCAAAUGAAAAUAUUUUCACAAUACAACCACCUCUGCACUUUCCUGAAAUCCCAGUGAUAACACUGAUCUCUGUAUUUCAUUUUACACGAUACUUGAAUUAAAGCCCUAAUCAGACAGAAGAAGGCUUAUUUCUUUUCAGAAAUAGAAGUCAAUUUCACUACUGCACAUUAACUCCAACAGACAAUACACGGCAGUGGGUGUUCCUAUGAGCAAAAAUAAGCUAUUCAUCACUAUAAAUGACAGGUUGGUGCCUUUACCAGUCAAAAGAAUUCUUAGCUCAAAAUAAACAUUGUCUAGUUAAUAGUGACCACAGCUUUCAGUCUAUACCCUGAAAAAUUGGCACCUGGUUUACAGAAUUGACCUCAGAAAUGUAAUAAUAUUCAAGCUACAAAUUUGUGCAUUAUAACACACUCUUAAUCAGGCUGCAACUAUUGGAUCAAUAGUGUACUGCUUCAGCCCUCAAAUGUCAAUAACUAAAUGAUAUAUAUCAUGCCUUUUGUUAAUUCAAUAUAUUCUAUUCAACUACAGAUUAUAUAAGGCUUAAGAGUUAAUGAUACCUAAACACAGCAGAUUUUUAUUUAAAAAUACAGCUGUAUAACUGUUUAUGCACAAGGUGCAACCUUGUGAUCUGUCUGUUAAUUACUAUUGAACUCUCUAAGGAUUAUAGAAGCAUAUUUGCAUCGUGUCAAGACUACACAUAUAUAAAAUCAUCUUCAGAAAUGGGCACUUUCUCCCUAGAGUACAAAUAAUUAAACAUUAUUCCAUUUGUGCACCUAA